AGUUCACUGUAAAAGUGCAAAUGUCAGAUGUAAAGAUUGUUUAGCAAGAUGAAAGCUUCCGGUUAAAUACAAACUUUGUGUCGUUAGAUCAUACUGUGGCACCGCGUUGAAGAAUUUCUUAGUUACUUGAACGGAUCGACCAACUGUCUCAUCUUUUAAAAGCUGAUUCUAUAGGUCUUUUGAAAAAUCACUAAGUUGCUGUAACGCAAAUACACCAGACUGGUUGCCAAGGAAAGGUGGCAGGUCACUGCCUGGAAUCGAACUCGGAAUAUUGGGGUUAGUAGACCGCGCUCUUAACCACAACGCCAUUUGAUGAAGAGUGGAGGGUAUAUCAGCCGAAACGUUGUGUUAACAACAAACAAGAUGAGAACAAAUAUCCGCCAAAUAGAAAAAAGAUAUCGCUGGAACAAAGUACUGGUUAUUUUUCGUUGACAUAUCCUUUGAUGACCGAGACAACCUAGAACUAAUAGACCCCUGUACAAUAAUAAUAAAUGUAUAAACAGCAAA